UUGAACGCUGGCGGCAUGCCUUACACAUGCAAGUCGAACGGCAGCACGGGAGCAAUCCUGGUGGCGAGUGGCGAACGGGUGAGUAAUACAUCGGAACGUGCCCAAUCGUGGGGGAUAACGCAGCGAAAGCUGUGCUAAUACCGCAUACGAUCUACGGAUGAAAGCAGGGGACCGCAAGGCCUUGCGCGAAUGGAGCGGCCGAUGGCAGAUUAGGUAGUUGGUGGGGUAAAGGCUCACCAAGCCAACGAUCUGUAGCUGGUCUGAGAGGACGACCAGCCACACUGGGACUGAGACACGGCCCAGACUCCUAGGGAGGCAGCAGUGGGGAAUUUUGGACAAUGGGCGCAAGCCUGAUCCAGCCAUGCCGCGUGCAGGAUGAAGGCCUUCGGGUUGUAAACUGCUUUUGUACGGAACGAAACGGCCUUUUCUAAUAAAGAGGGCUAAUGACGGUACCGUAAGAAUAAGCACCGGCUAACUACGUG
rnacentral:rRNA from 1 species